rnacentral:rRNA from 1 species
UACGAAGGGUGCAAGCGUUACUCGGAAUUACUGGGCGUAAAGCGUGCGUAGGUGGUUCGUUAAGUCUGAUGUGAAAGCCCUGGGCUCAACCUGGGAAUGGCAUUGGAAACUGGCGACCUAGAGUGCGGUAGAGGGUAGUGGAAUUCCCGGUGUAGCAGUGAAAUGCGUAGAGAUCGGGAGGAACAUCUGUGGCGAAGGCGGCUGCCUGGACCAGCACUGACACUGAGGCACGAAAGCGUGGGGAGCAAACAGG